GACGAACGCUGGCGGCGUGCUUAACACAUGCAAGUCGAACGGAAAGGCCCUGCUUUUGUGGGGUGCUCGAGUGGCGAACGGGUGAGUAACACGUGAGUAACCUGCCCUUGACUUUGGGAUAACUUCAGGAAACUGGGGCUAAUACCGGAUAGGAGCUCCUGCUGCAUGGUGGGGGUUGGAAAGUUUCGGCGGUUGGGGAUGGACUCGCGGCUUAUCAGCUUGUUGGUGGGGUAGUGGCUUACCAAGGCUUUGACGGGUAGCCGGCCUGAGAGGGUGACCGGCCACGUUGGGACGGAGAUGCGGCCCAGACUCGUACGGGAGGCAACAGAGGGGAAUAGUGCACAAUGGGCGGGAGCAUGAUGCAGCAACGCCGCGUGCGGGAUGACGGCAUGCGGGUUGUAAUCCGCUGUCGCCUGUGACGAAGCGUGAGUGACGGUAAUGGGUAAAGAAGCACCGGCUAACUACGUG
rnacentral:rRNA from 1 species